rnacentral:rRNA from 1 species
AUUGAACACUGGCGGCAGGCCUAACACAUGCAAGUCGAGCGAGCGGCGGAAGGGGGUGUAAUGUAUGGGGACUGCCCGAUAGAGGGGGAUAACUACUGGAAAAAGUGGCUCUUACCGCAUACUGUCGGAGUACCCAUAGGGGAUUAGCUAUUAGGUAAGGUAAUGGCUUACCUAGGCGACGAUCCCUAGCUGGUCUGAGAGGAUGAUCAGCCACACUGGGACUGAGACACGGCCCAGACUCCUACGGAGGCAGCAGUGGGGAAUAUUGCACAAUGGGCGAAAGCCUGAUGCAGCCAUGCCGCGUGUAUGAAGAAGGCCCUAGGGUUGUAAAGUACUUUCAGUCGGGAGGCGUUACCGACAGAAGAAGCACCGGCUAACUCCGUGCCAGCAGCCGCGGUAAUAC